UCAAGUUCAGCGGGUACUCCUACCUGAUCCGAGGUCACCCUUGAUAUGUGGGGGGUUUCAAGGCAAGAACCCGACGCGUUCCCUGAGCGAGGAUGUUUCCUGCACUCUGUGCGACGACGAGCCUGCCACUGGAUUUGGGAGCCUACGGCAGCCGUAGGGCUCCAACGCAAGCCGGGGGCUUGAUGGUUGAAAUGACGCUC
rnacentral:misc_RNA from 1 species